rnacentral:tRNA from 1 species
GGCUUCACAGCUCAGUUGGUUGAGCAUCGCACUCGUAUCGCGGAGGUCACGGGUUAGAAUCCCGUUGAAGCCC